AUACGUAGGUGACAAGCGUUAUCCGGAUUUACUGGGCGUAAAGGGCGUGUAGGCGGUCUUGCAAGUCAGAAGUGUAAUUCCUGAGAUCAACUCGGGCGCUGCUUCUGAAACUGCAGGACUUGAGUGCUGGAGGGGAUAGCGGAAUUCCUAGUGGAGCGGUAAAAUGAGCAGAUAUUAGGAAGAACACCGGUAGCGAAGGCGGAUAUCUGGACAUGAAAUUACGUUGAGGCGCGAAAGCGUGGGGAGCAAACAGGAUGAGAUUCCCUGGUAGUCCACGCCGUAAACGAUGAAUACUAGAUGUGGGGGGACUGACCCCCUCCGUGCCGCAGUUAACACAAUAAGUAUUCCACCUGGGGAGUACGAUCGCAAGAUUGAAACUCAAAUGAAUUGACGGGG
rnacentral:rRNA from 1 species